CUUGUAUAAGACAACGAUGCCCGGUCAUUUCCUAGGCCCAAACCCUUUUCUGCACAUCCUUUGUACUUUUUUCAUACUUUUGAACUUGGUGAUAACCCGUCACUGUAAUUAUGUAUGAAUAUACAUAUCGGAAUUAGUUUAUUUUAUUCCCUCAGCACCUUGAGGACUCUCCAGGGAGAGGCAUCCUGUUUGCCUCACAUGGACACCUUCAUAUAGCGAAUGUUUCAAGUGUUCCGGAUUAAGCAAAAGUCAAAGUACGCCCGCCACAAGAUUUAGAUUAAGCAAAAGG